ncrna:unclassified sequences RT-9 RNA
GUCCGGCACGGUCACGGCUUUGCUGGCGAGUCCUUGUUAUACUUCAAGGGAGAGGUAAUCCUUCGCCAUGUCUUGAGACGGCGUAAAAACAGUGAUAGAG